AUUGAACGCUGGCGGCAUGCCUUACACAUGCAAGUCGAACGGUAACAGGUCUUCGGAUGCUGACGAGUGGCGAACGGGUGAGUAAUACAUCGGAACGUGCCUAGUAGUGGGGGAUAACUACUCGAAAGAGUGGCUAAUACCGCAUGAGAUCUACGGAUGAAAGCAGGGGAUCGCAAGACCUUGUGCUACUAGAGCGGCCGAUGGCAGAUUAGGGAGCUGGUGGGAUAAAAGCUUACCAAGCCGACGAUCUGUAGCUGGUCUGAGAGGACGAGCGGCCACACUGGGACUGGGACACGGCCCAGACUCCUACGGGAGGCAGCAGUGGGGAAUUUUGGACAAUGGGCGCAAGCCUGAUCCCGCAAUGCCGCGUGCAGGAUGAAGGCCUUCGGGUUAUAAACUGCUUUUGUACGGAACGAAAAGCCCCGGGUUAAUACCCUGGGGUCAUGACGGUACCGUAAGAAUAAGCACCGGCUAACUACGUGCCAGCCGCCGCGGUAA
rnacentral:rRNA from 1 species